CUGGUUCCUGGUUUUCGGUGGCUUGCCGAUGAUGGAAGCAAGGAAGCAGCUCUUCUCUGGCUUGUUCAGGGAAGAAGAGUAAGUUUUCAAAUUUGCAACAUAGUUGCCUAGUUUUCCUUUUCAGCCGAUAUUAGUCUAUUUUAAGUGCUGAGUUUUCUGAGUAAACGAAAAAAAAAAAGAUUUUAAGUGCUGGUAUGUGAUUGCGCAUGCCAUGAUUCCAUUAGAAAUUGGAAGGAAUCAGUCAAUUGCCUACUUUUGCACAAAAUUGGAUAGAUUGGGACUACAUUUGCCUUACAAAAUAAAUUGGGGACUAGUUUGGCACAUGAGUAAUAGAUUGAGGAUCAAAAUUACAAUUCCUCCUAAUUUAUGGGCAUCGCCAAUUUCAACCCCCCAAGCCAGUUCUUUGCAAUGGAUUCUCUGUACCACACCCUGUCUCACAUCCUAUCCCAUUCAUUCUAAACUUGCCAAGUGUCCUUUUAUAAACCAAAUCCUAGAACAACCCAACUCGGACCAUGUUUAAUUAAUUAACUGAUUAAUCGGGCAGAGAAACUUAAUCUCUAUAACCAAAAUCAAUUAAAAUAAAAACCAAAAAAAUAAAAUUAGAGAUUAAACAAGGGAAAAAAAAACCACGAAACCAUGAAAUUAGAAUCCCAUCAGAAUAUAAUUUCUUCUCAAAAGCUUCCGUCAGAUAUCACUACUUAUCCUUUCACCAGAUAUCACUCACAAUUCAAAUGCCUGGUGGCAUGAUUUCGGCCGAUGAUCAUAAGCUAUGUCCUCCGUCACGAAGUCGAAGGAAACUGUCCAUGGAAUCGUGCACCGUGUGAAAGGUGGAUCAUCGCCAUUCUUAAUCGAGACUCAGGUUAAGCUCCAUCUCGGAACCUUGUGGGGUUAGGAGUAAAGCAUCCCAAGGUUGGCGCAUCUCUAAUAGCGUGGAGAAGCAUUGGGAACCCCAAUUUCUUUCUUCGGAGCCCUUUCUUCAGAUUAUGUGCUCUCAAUGGGCAAUUGGACGAAGCUCACCACCUGUUCGAUCAAAUGCCUAGGUGUCAUGAAUCAUUUUUUCCAUGGAAUUCACUGAUAGCCUCAACAUCCUAGGAUGGGCUUCCUCCAAUAUUCUAGAGAAUUCUUUCACAAUACUGCGAUGGGCUUCCUCAAAUCUUUUGGGCAAUGUAGUUUUUUUCUUGCCUUUGUUUUCCUGCUAUUUUCUUUGCCCAUUAUUCUGUCAUUCGUAUUUAUUGUGUCUCCUUGCUGAAAUUUGUUCUCAAAUUAUGGCUGUCAUAUAUACUCAUACUUCACUUGGCUAGUGCUUUGGAAUUUUUUUUGGGUACUCUCUUCAUUUUAGUACACACUGCCUUAUAGAUUACAGCUUUUGUGCAUGGCAAGAAACUACUGCAGUUAAAGGCAGUCGGGGGUAACAUAUUUAUCCCUAUUUUUUUGUGGUUUAUUGGCGGCAGAAGUAACUUAUCAUUGAACAGGGGCAUUGGAGUGGUUCUGUUUCUUAUCCUGCUUGGUUUACUAGUGUUUAAGAUUGGGAAUUUGUGUAAACCAGUGUCCUUGUUUCAUGUGAAUUUCCAUAUUAAUUGAGCAUUGAGAUUCAUUUGAUGUUUGUAUAAAUCUAUCAUAUGUUGUUUAAGCAUCACCGUGAAAUAAGAGUGAUUUUUUGCACUUAUGCAUAUCCAUGCAUGCAUAUAAAAAACAUGAGAACGAAGGGGUGAAAGGAUAAACCGUAUAAUAACAGAAGAAAAUUUAGAAGAUGAUUGAAUUAUUUUGAGAUCAAAGGACAAUAGCUCAAUGAUGUCUCUGUUUUGCUUUUACCGUAAAACUAGUCCAUUGCAGGGGAAUCAACUUGUAGAUCAUGCUGCAGAUGUUAUUGUAACCAUUAUACUGAUGAUGUUCUUUUUAAGUAUAUUUUAUACUCGAGAAGAGUUUUGGUUUUUUUUGGAGGGGGGAGAUAUUAUGUAUCAUGAUAUAUUUUUUUAUGUACUUGUUACGAUUGGUUUGAUUUACAAUGUCAUGCUUUUACAUUGGCAGGGCGGUGAGGGCUCUGAUGAUGAUGAGGAAAAGAAACAUCCCUGCAAGCAUCACCACCACCACCACCACCGCAAAGACUAUGAUGAUGAGUGAGCAAACUGGCAAGUGGAGGUCUGUUAGGGGUUCAUGUUAUUUCAAUCCACUACUAUUACUGAAUAAGGGGUUGGCAUGCUUCCCUUCAGUGUUCGCGUGUUUUAAGCAUAUAUUCUUGCAGUAUCUUUGAGAGGAAAUAAAUAGACUAGAGCUAUGCAGACUCAAGUUAAUUGUGUGUGAGAUCGUCAGCCUUUUGCUUUGAUUGUAAGAUGAUAAGUGAAAUCCCAAAUACCUGGGAAGGUGUUGUGGAUAUUCCCCUUGUCUGAUUAAGUGCAGCUAAGAUGUUUUUUCAUGUCAAAGUUGAAAAUUAUUGGCUUUGGUCUCCAUGGCUUGCUUUUGUGGCUUUAAAGUUUCGCGUUAUGGUUUGAUUCUGGAAUUCUUCCAUCUCGGGAAUU
rnacentral:lncRNA from 1 species